UCACUUAUGCACCACACGAACAACUCAAGAUGAAGCUUCUCCUCCAGCUCAUCCUCACCUGUGCGACCUUCUCUAAAGGUUAUCCACUGAAUUGCUACCAAUGCACAUCUGACUCCAAUGGACAAUGCACACAGACUACAGUGUGUCCAUCCUCUGCAAACACUUGUCAAAGUUCAACAGUUACUGUCUUCCAAGGAAGUUCUGUGCUGACUGAAACAUCGCUAAACUUCUGCACAACACCUCAACUAUGUAUCUCU